GUCCUGCACGCGGGUAGUUUAAGAGCAAAAUAUCCAAGGCGAAAGCCUUUCCCUGGGCAAUCCCUUGCCCGGCUGCGGGCCGAACGCCGAGGGUUACCUGUCACGUGGAAGAUGCGGGUGCAAGUCCCGCCCCGCGAUGAGGACGA
rnacentral:misc_RNA from 1 species